UCUCUUGAAUGUGAAUAUAAGUCUAAAUUUAAACAGUAUUAUAUAGAGCGGUCGCCGAUCGUGUCUCUUUAGGGCACUUGGAGGAAACCACGCAAUUCAUAUGGAUUACUUUGGCGAUGUUUUUUUGCGAUUUCAACUUUUUGAAACGUGAACAUCUUUGGUGAAUCUUCUUUCAUCGGAGGGACAUAAAUCUCUCAGAUUUUUAUUAAAAUAUCUCAGCUUUUCUUUUGAAGAUGAACGAAAGUCUUAGAUGGUUUGGAGCAUCUUAAGGGUGAGUGAUGACAGAAUUCAAAUUGUUUUGGGGGAACUAUGAAAUUAAUUAGAAAAUAUAGCGGUAUGUUCUUAUUUUUACCAGCUUCUGCAAGCGUGUAUGGCGUCUGGCUUUUGGAACCUCACUGUGACUUCAGAUAAGAACAAAGAUUAAAUUGUAAGAAGGGUUGCUUAUAUGAGAGCAUACAGUACAUCUGAAACUGCUGAGGCUGGGAAGGUUUUUGAGGUACAUUGUUCUCAGCGUACUGUCAUUCUUAAAAAGAAAACAAAUCAUCAAUCAUCAUUUGCUUUUUUGUGUGUGUGUGUGUGAAAUAUUAACAUUUGUUGUUUUUCAGAUCAGCUGCUAUAGAAGACAAACUGAAAUCUGAGUGCAGAGACAAGCAAAGGAAUACUGCAAGGCUCUGGUGCAAAAUAUUGUAUGCCAGGAGUCAGGACGACUAGGCUGUGCCCAGGUCUCCGGAACCUGCGACGACGCUCAGCUCCAUCAGCCCUCCAUCUGCGCCUUCGGAUCCACCAGCUCGGUCUCCGUCGGUCGGCCCCCAGAUGUUGGCAGCCACACCAUCUACAUUUUGGCUCCUCGCUCCCUCGAUUCCGCCGUGUGUUGUCAGCACUGGGAUGCUCUGGGUCUGUGCCAUGUGCCAAACACCAUCUAAGCUGCCAGGGCAUCAUCGUCAUCC